rnacentral:lncRNA from 1 species
AAAUCACCUACGAAGCCACUUCACAUGCUAGAACACUCACAUGCACAUGGCCUUUUUUCCCUAAGUAAUUGCCAAAUGCAUGCUAAAAAUCAAGUCACCACAUAAUUUCAUGCAUUAUUAUAGGAUUAUAUUAACAAAUUAAUCAGUUUUGGAUUACCAAAUUUGUGAUUUUUUUUAAGAACCCAAAACCCCAAAGCUUAUGGAUAUAGAUGUUCAUUGGGGAAAAAAAAGUGAAAUAUUCAGACGUCAAAAAUAUUUGAAUGUUAAUUUGGAAAAUCAUUAUGUUGUAUAAGAGAGGUCCAUUUGUAUGGCAGCCUGGGGAAGGGAUUGGAAAGUCCUGUGGAUGCUCAACCUCACCUCUGCUGUGUAGUUCAAGAGGAUGACAUUUCUAUAAAGUUAUAUUCUAAGGUAGCAGAUCUGUGAGAACCUAUGUUCUGGUAAGUGCGAUACUUUUUUGAGGGAGAUAACUGAAAAUGCAUAUUCUCAUAACCUUUAUUCCCAUUCUCCAAAUAGAAAAUCUCAUCCAUUAUUAUGUAAGAUGUUCUUCCCUCCCCCAUAGGAUAAAUUUUAUGAAAAAGGAAAGACUAUUAUACUUAAAAUUCAUGUGUAAGAAGUUUAUUCUGCUGUGUUAGAAUUCUUUCUGAGACCAGCACACGUCUGUUAGGCGAUGGCAGGCUUGGGGAGAUAUGGUUAAGCUGCGGUGAUAGACUUCUCUGCUGGUUUGAGUUCUGCUAUACAGUUACACAGUGCAACUCAUGGUGGGCUUACACUUAGGGGCUCAUCACACGUAGCAUCAUUUUUAUGUUUUAAAAGUUUGAUCUGAAUUUAGUUACUUGUGUCAGGGAGAUCUUUUUCUCCAUUAUGUUUUUAUCCCAAGUUAUUUCUCCUGAGCCAGGGCUUUCUUUGGAAUCCUUCUGACUGAGAAUGAGUGUGUGCAUCCAGCUCAUGAAUGAACACUGCCAGUGUAGAGAAUGAUGUGGACGAUCUUGCCCUGCAGAUAACAAGCAGAGGCAUGGAUGCUUAGCGUUCUACACAGUGAUCAACAAACACUAUUGAAUUGAGUUGAGUUAGUUACCAGUGGAAAUCUUAAGUUUCUCCAAUCUUUGUUAUCAUUUUCUCUAUUAAAAAAGAAAAAAAAAAGUGCACCUUAGGUACUUUUUCUAGUCAGCCAUCAAUGAGAGGAGAGGCCCUUGGUCUUGCGAAGAUCAUAUGCCCCAGUACAGGGGAAUGCCAGGGCCAGGAAGCAGGAGUGGGUGGGUUGGGGAGCAGGGUGGGGGGAGGGUAUAGUUGACUUUGGGGAUAGCGUUUGAAAUGUAAAUUAAGAAUAUAUCUAAUAAAAAAGUAAAAAAAGAAAUAAAGUAAAAAAAAGUGCAAUAUGAUAUUCUCUGUAUGAAGAAUGGGCUGUAUGAAAUAUUCAAAACAUAAUUUGUUUUUGUAAACCACUGGACAAUUUUAACAGCAUUUUAUUUAAAUUUUAAUGCUUGAUGCUCAUACUGAAAUCUACAUAAUAAUGACUUAAUAAAAAUUUUAAUAGAAUUUAUUUAAUUUCAUGCUGUAAAUUUCUCUUUAAAUCUGUGUAAUUAUAUUUAUUGGAAAAUGCUAGAAACAUUUGAUUUCUUCCUAAUUUCCUAUACAUAUACAAAUAAUCUGAAGUAAUGUAUGAUAUUAAACAAUAAUUCUUUCAAUUAAUUUUAUAAUUAUUUUCUCCAUUAUGUUGUAAAAUUGGAUACUCUCAUACUAAAACAUAAAAUACUUAAAAUAUUAAUAUUUUGAUUUGUGAUGCUUUCAACCCCAAUGCAGUUUUUUUCUUCAUUUUUUCUGAAUUCUGGGUUGUUUUGGUUUUUUUGUUUUUUUGUUUUUUGUAAAUUUGAACUAUCUUUUUUAUAUAAAAACUGUUUAAUC